rnacentral:rRNA from 1 species
GCAGUCGAACGAAGCACUGAAAGCAGAUUACUUCGGUAGGAAGCUAUCUUUGACUGAUUGGCGGACGGGUGAGUAACGCGUGGGUAACCUGCCUCAUACAGGGGGAUAACAGUUAGAAAUGACUGCUAAUACCGCAUAAGCGCACGGGACUGCAUGGUCCAGUGUGAAAAACUCCGGUGGUAUGAGAUGGACCCGCGUCUGAUUAGCUAGUUGGUGGGGUAAGGGCUCACCAAGGCGACGAUCAGUAGCCGGCCUGAGAGGGUGACCGGCCACAUUGGGACUGAGACACGGCCCAAACUCCUACGGGAGGCAGCAGUGGGGAAUAUUGCACAAUGGGGGAAACCCUGAUGCAGCGACGCCGCGUGAAGGAAGAAGUAUUUCGGUAUGUAAACUUCUAUCAGCAGGGAAGAAAAUGACGGUACCUGACUAAGAAGCCCCGGCUAACUACGUGCCAGCAGCCGCGGUAAUACGUAGGGGGCAAGCGUUAUCCGGAUUUACUGGGUGUAAAGGGAGCGUAGGCGGUGAUGCAAGUCAGAAGUGAAAGCCCGCAGCUCAACUGCGGGACUGCUUUUGAAACUGUAUGACUAGAUUGCAGGAGAGGUAAGUGGAAUUCCUAGUGUAGCGGUGAAAUGCGUAGAUAUUAGGAGGAACACCAGUGGCGAAGGCGGCUUACUGGACUGUAAAUGACGCUGAGGCUCGAAAGCGUGGGGAGCAAACAGGAUUAGAUACCCUGGUAGUCCACGCCGUAUACGAUGAAUACUAGGUGUCAGGGAGCAAAGCUUUUUGGUGCCGCAGCAAACGCAAUAAGUAUUCCACCUGGGGAGUACGUUCGCAAGAAUG